CUAGGUUCUAGCAGAUUGGAGAAGAUUGGUUCUACUUCCAAUUUCAUUAGACUGUAGCGCUGAAAUUAGUUUUUUUGAAUCAGCUAUGUUUAUUGUAUAAACCUAUAUGUGUGUUUUUAAAAGAUGAAACAGAGAAUGGAGAAAGAGAUUCCUGAACAGUUAUCAGGAGCUGAUGUCAUGGAUAUGUUGGAAAUUUCCAGUGAUGUUCUUGAAAAUGUAGAAUUUACAGAAAACAAAACUAGUGUUAUUUCUAAUAAUAAAUCAUAUACCUUAAGAAAACAUGUAAUGGAUGGGUCAUUCGAGAUAUAUCUAUUCAACUUAGAAUUUGAAACUAGGCAGAAGAAAUCAAAGUCAGAUGGUUGUAAUCUAGAAGUUGUUGAUUUAAAGUUGAAUGUGGAAGAUCAUGUCUAUGAAGAUUUAUCACAAAGCUUACAACUAAUAGUUAAUCAUCACAAUAUCUCGGGUUUCUUCAUACUCAUGUCAACUUAUGCAUCAUGGAGAAUGAAGCUAGAAAAAAUAUUGAAUUCUUUUGAAGAGAAAUAUCCUGGAAUAGCAGAACUCAAGUCGUUAAAAGAUAAUAAAUGCAUUCUACAAAUCCAUGUAGAUGGUCAUAGUGAUUUUAUAUUUAUUAUAUGGUAUUCUUGGUUGGUGGAUGAAAGUUUUCACACUACACCUGAGGUUAAGCUUGGUGUAAAAGUUUCAGAAUCUUUAUUAAAAGAAGAUGAUUCGUCAUGUAUACCGACAUCACCAAGGAUUUUCAGAAAGAUGCUGGAAAAAUAUGAUAUAGAACAUUCCAUAAAUACUCUUAUAAAUAUGAUUAAUCCUAAAUGAUUUUGAUAAAUGUGUUUUGUGUAUCCGUUGCCCACAGUAUGAGUAAAAUUUGUUCAAAUAA